GGAGUUGUGGCUCAGUGGGAGAGUACUUUCCUAGUAUGACUGAGGUACUGGGUUCUAUUCUCAGCACCA
rnacentral:tRNA from 1 species